rnacentral:rRNA from 1 species
CGAUGCCGCGUGAGUGAAGAAGGCCUUUGGGUUGUAAAGCUCUUUCGUCGGGGAAGAAAAUGACUGUACCCGAAUAAGAAGGUCCGGCUAACUUCGUGCCAGCAGCCGCGGUAAUACGAAGGGACCUAGCGUAGUUCGGAAUUACUGGGCUUAAAGAGCUCGUAGGUGGUUAAAAAAGUUGGUGGUGAAAUCCCAAAGCUUAACUCUGGAACUGCCAUCAAAACUUUUUAACUAGAGUAUGAUAGAGGAAAGUGGAAUUUCUAGUGUAGAGGUGAAAUUCGUAGAUAUUAGAAAGAACACCAAUUGCGAAGGCAGCUUUCUGGAUCAUUACUGACACUGAGGAGCGAAAGCAUGGGUAGCGAAGAGGAUUAGAUACCCUCGUAGUCCAUGCCGUAAACGAUGUGUGCUAGACGUUGGAAAUUUAUUUUCCG